AGAGUUUGAUCAUGGCUCAGGAUGAACGUCAGCUACAGGCUUAACACAUGCAAGUCGAGGGGCAGCGGGAUUGAAGCUUGCUUCAAUUGCCGGCGACCGGCGCACGGGUGAGUAACGCGUAUCCAACCUUCCGCUUACUCGGGGAUAGCCUUUCGAAAGAAAGAUUAAUACCCGAUGGUAUGAUGAGAUUGCAUGAUAGCAUCAUUAAAGAUUUAUUGGUAAGCGAUGGGGAUGCGUUCCAUUAGGUAGUAGGCGGGGUAACGGCCCACCUAGCCUACGAUGGAUAGGGGUUCUGAGAGGAAGGUCCCCUAUAUUGGAACUGAGACACGGUCCAAACUCCUACGGGAGGCAGCAGUGAGGAAUAUUGGUCAAUGGACGAGAGUCUGAACCAGCCAAGUAGCGUGAAGGAUGAAGGUCCUACGGAUUGUAAACUUCUUUUAUAAGGGAAUAAAACCUCCCACGUGUGGGAGCUUGUAUGUACCUUAUGAAUAAGCAUCGGCUAACUCCGUGCCAGCAGCCGCGGUAAUACGGAGGAUGCGAGCGUUAUCCGGAUUUAUUGGGUUUAAAGGGAGCGCAGACGGGUCGUUAAGUCAGCUGUGAAAGUUUGGGGCUCAACCUUAAAAUUGCAGUUGAUACUG
rnacentral:rRNA from 1 species